AGUGAACGCUGGCGGUAGGCCUAACACAUGCAAGUCGAACGGCAGCACAGUAAGAGCUUGCUCUUACGGGUGGCGAGUGGCGGACGGGUGAGGAAUACAUCGGAAUCUACUUUUUCGUGGGGGAUAACGUAGGGAAACUUACGCUAAUACCGCAUACGACCUACGGGUGAAAGCAGGGGAUCUUCGGACCUUGCGCGAUUGAAUGAGCCGAUGUCGGAUUAGCUAGUUGGCGGGGUAAAGGCCCACCAAGGCGACGAUCCGUAGCUGGUCUGAGAGGAUGAUCAGCCACACUGGAACUGGGACACGGUCCAGACUCCUACGGGAGGCAGCAGUGGGGAAUAUUGGACAAUGGGCGCAAGCCUGAUCCAGCCAUACCGCGUGGGUGAAGAAGGCCUUCGGGUUGUAAAGCCCUUUUGUUGGGAAAGAAAAGCAGCAGGUUAAUACCCCGCUGUUCUGACGGUACCCAAAGAAUAGGCACCGGCUAACUUCGUG
rnacentral:rRNA from 1 species